AGCAAGGUAUAAAUAUAGCAAAUAAAUAAAUAAAUACUUAUUUUUGCACAGAAAUAGCCCCUUUUACACACAAAAUUGUUUUCUGUGCAGAAAGUGCUAUACUUGGUAACAUCCAGUGCAUAAAUUGUACUUGCCUGACCUACUUAUGCAAAGUUUGGACAAUAUAAGUCCCAAAUUGAAAAGAUUCCAGCAACGAUUCUUCUUUUCAGGGUCUCCAAAACACAACAUAUAUGUUUUUACUGUUUCCCAGUAAUUUCUGAAAAAUCUUUCCAUUUCUAUUAGGACUGAAGACUGACCCAAGAUGCUUUGCUGCCUGAGACAAAGGACAAGAUGGUGCCCCUGCUCCUGGAAGGAAAUGAACCAGCAGGUGAAUUUUACCACAAGUUUGGAAAAGGGGGAUAUUUUUAUACCACAGAUGGAUGAAUCUGUGGAUAUGUAAAACUGACUGUAUCUUGUCUUUGGAAACUAUCCAGGUUAACUUUGUACAAAGAAUUAUAAUAAAGGUAGCCAGGGACCAUGGAGGUUGAUUAUCUACACUUAUAUUUGAUCAUCCACAGCUAGGAUUGGAUACCAGAUAGAAUAGAGUCAUAUACUGCCAUUCCAUCACUAGCAACACCAGUUUGUAUAUAUUGGUGUAAUGACCACAUACAGAUUUUAUGGAAUACUGUUACUUCAUUUUAGUGUUUCAUUUCUGCUCUUUGCAAGUGGUUAUAUAUCCCUCUGAAUUGCCCUAAGAUUAUUUUUCUAAUAAUGUUUUCUUCAUAUUGCUUGAAAUUGUUGACUGGAAAGAAGGAAAGAGAAUGAGAACUCCCAUAGGGGAUGUGAACGAGACUCAGUUGCACAUUUCAAGUGGUAACUUAGACAAUAGCCAAGCUUCAAAUAGCCUCUACUGCUG
rnacentral:lncRNA from 1 species